CUUCUCGGAGUCUAACCAAAUAUUAGCUAAGGUACUGAAUGUCACUAGUCUUACUGUUACUAAUUGGAGGUUCCUUUUGAAACUUUUAGGUGAAGCCACCUAGGAUUCCUAGGUAGACACUCUAGAAAAAAGAGAAAUCCUAAAAAUUUUCAAAAAAAGCAAAAUAUCCGACCAUCAAUCGAUAGAUUCAAAUCAUCAUAGCCAUUGGAUCUAUUAUAUUUUCUAAAAAAUUACCCACCUAUGCCAUUAUGAAAAUAGCCUAAAGUAACCCCCUAAAUCUAUAUAUAAAUUACCCACCUCUGCUAUUAUAUAAAAUAAACUAAAGUAAGCCCCUAAUAUUCAUCAAAAUUACCAACUUAUGCCAUUAUAAACAAUAUUUAAAAUAACCCUCUAAUUUGCAACUGAAUUGCUUACCACUUAAAAAACUUAAAGUAGCCCCUUAAAUUUGCAUCUAUAUUACCCACACAUGUCAUUAUUAAAAAUAACAUGAGGUAACUCUACGUAUGAAUCAAAUAACCUUAAUUAAAAAUAUACAGCAAUAUAUGAUUCUAAAUCGUCUAUAUCUUGUACUAUUGGUAUACGAUAUAAGAAUUAAGGUCUAUACGCAUGAUGUGUGUCACCAUUUAUAAGGAUAUAAAAUGAUGAGAAUAUAGAUUUCUAUGAUAAAAUUGUAUCUCAAACUUAAGGUUCAUUAAACAAAUUCAAGCG
rnacentral:lncRNA from 1 species